GGCUUAGUGGUGGGGUGACUGCGUACCUUUUGUAUAAUGGGUCAGCGACUUAUAUUCUGUAGCAAGGUUAACCGCAUAGGGGAGCCGGAGGGAAACCGAGUCUUAACCGGGCGUUAAGUUGCAGGGUAUAGACCCGAAACCCGGUGAUCUAGCCAUGGGCAGGUUGAAGGUUGGGUAACACUAACUGGAGGACCGAACCGACUAAUGUUGAAAAAUUAGCGGAUGACCUGUGGCUGGGGGUGAAAGGCCAAUCAAACCGGGAGAUAGCUGGUUCUCCCCGAAAGCUAUUUAGGUAGCGCCUCGUGAAUUCAUCUCCGGGGGUAGAGCACUGUUUCGGCCAGGGGGCCAUCCCGGCUUACCAAUCCGAUGCAAACUGCGAAUACCGGAGAAUGUUAUCACGGGAGACACACGGCGGGUGCUAACGUCCGUCGUGAAGAGGGAAACAACCCAGACCGCCAGCUAAGGUCCCAAAGUCAUGGUUAAGUGGGAAACGAUGUGGGAAGGCCCAGACAGCCAGGAUGUUGGCUUAGAAGCAGCCAUCAUUUAAAGAAAGCGUAAUAGCUCACUGGUCGAGUCGGCCUGCGCGGAAGAUGUAACGGGGCUAAACCAUGCACCGAAGCUGCGGCAGCGACACUGAUGUGUUGUUGGGUAGGGGAGCGUUCUGUAAGCCGUUGAAGGUGGCCUGUGAGGGUUGCUGGAGGUAUCAGAAGUGCGAAUGCUGACAUAAGUAACGAUAAAGCGGGUGAAAAGCCCGCUCGCCGGAAGACCAAGGGUUCCUGUCCAACGUUAAUCGGGGCAGGGUGAGUCGACCCCUAAGGCGAGGCCGAAAGGCGUAGUCGAUGGGAAACGGGUUAAUAUUCCCGUACUUGGUGUUACUGCGAAGGGGGGACGGAGAAGGCUAUGUUGGCCGGGCGACGGUUGUCCCGGUUUAAGCGUGUAGGUGUGUGUUCCAGGUAAAUCCGGUUCACUUUAACACUGAGGCGUGAUGACGAGGCACUACGGUGCUGAAGCAACAAAUGCCCUGCUUCCAGGAAAAGCCUCUAAGCCUCAGGUAACAUCAAAUCGUACCCCAAACCGACACAGGUGGUCAGGUAGAGAAUACCAAGGCGCUUGAGAGAACUCGGGUGAAGGAACUAGGCAAAAUGGUGCCGUAACUUCGGGAGAAGGCACGCUGACACGUAGGUGAAGUGGUUUACCCAUGGAGCUGAAGUCAGUCGAAGAUACCAGCUGGCUGCAACUGUUUAUUAAAAACACAGCACUGUGCAAACACGAAAGUGGACGUAUACGGUGUGACGCCUGCCCGGUGCCGGAAGGUUAAUUGAUGGGGUCAGCGCAAGCGAAGCUCCUGAUCGAAGCCCCGGUAAACGGCGGCCGUAACUAUAACGGUCCUAAGGUAGCGAAAUUCCUUGUCGGGUAAGUUCCGACCUGCACGAAUGGCGUAAUGAUGGCCAGGCUGUCUCCACCCGGGACUCAGUGAAAUUGAACUCGCUGUGAAGAUGCAGUGUACCCGCGGCAAGACGGAAAGACCCCGUGAACCUUUACUAUAGCUUGACACUGAACACUGGUCCUUGAUGUGCAGGAUAGGUGGGAGGCUUUGAAGUGUGGACGCCAGUCUGCACGGAGCCGUCCUUGAAAUACCACCCUUUAAUGGCUGGUGUUCUAACGUGGACCCGUAAUCCGGGUUGCGGACAGUGUCUGGUGGGUAGUUUGACUGGGGCGGUCUCCUCCUAAAGAGUAACGGAGGAGCACGAAGGUUGGCUAAUCCUGGUCGGACAUCAGGAGGUUAGUGCAAUGGCAUAAGCCAGCUUGACUGCGAGCGUGACGGCGCGAGCAGGUGCGAAAGCAGGUCAUAGUGAUCCGGUGGUUCUGAAUGGAAGGGCCAUCGCUCAACGGAUAAAAGGUACUCCGGGGAUAACAGGCUGAUACCGCCCAAGAGUUCAUAUCGACGGCGGUGUUUGGCACCUCGAUGUCGGCUCAUCACAUCCUGGGGCUGAAGUAGGUCCCAAGGGUAUGGCUGUUCGCCAUUUAAAGUGGUACGCGAGCUGGGUUUAGAACGUCGUGAGACAGUUCGGUCCCUAUCUGCCGUGGGCGCUGGAAGAUUGAGGGGGGCUGCUCCUAGUACGAGAGGACCGGAGUGGACGCAUCACUGGUGUUCGGGUUGUCAUGCCAAUGGCACUGCCCGGUAGCUACAUGCGGAAGAGAUAAGUGCUGAAAGCAUCUAAGCACGAAACUUGCCCCGAGAUGAAUCUUCCCUGAGCCUUUAAGGCUCCUGAAGGAACGUUGAAGACGACGACGUUGAUAGGCCGGGUGUGUAAGCGCAGCGAUGCGUUGAGCUAACCGGUACUAAUGAACCGUGAGGCUUAACCUU
rnacentral:rRNA from 1 species